AAGAUCUACUCCAGAGUACCACGAGACACGUGAAACCUUGUGGGAAGCAGGGAGGACCACCUCCCAAGGCUAAAUACUAACUGGUGACCGAUAGUGAAGCAGUACCGUGAGGGAAAGGUGAAAAGAACCCCGGAAGGGGAGUGAAAUAGAACCUGAAACCGUGUGUCCACAACCGGUCGAAGCACUUUUAUGUGCGACGACGUGCUUUUUGUAGAACGAGCCAGCGAGUUACGGUAUGUAGCAAGGUUAAGUACUUAAGGUACGGAGCCGAAGGGAAACCGAGUCUGAAUAGGGCGAAAAGUUGCAUGUCGUAGACCCGAAACCGGGUGACCUAUCCAUGGCCAGGAUGAAGCGGAAGUAAAAUUCCGUGGAGGUCCGAACCACGUUGGUGUUGAAAAACCAUGGGAUGAGCUGUGGAUAGCGGAGAAAUUCCAAUCGAACUCGGAGAUAGCUGGUUCUCCUCGAAAUAGCUUUAGGGCUAGCGUUGAGAUUGAGUAGUGGAGGUAGAGCACUGAAUGGGCUAGGGGCUGACAACAGUUACUGAACCCUAUCAAACUCCGAAUGCCAUAUACUUGUAUCUCAGCAGUCAGACUGCGAAUGAUAAGAUCCGUAGUCAAAAGGGAAACAGCCCAGAUCAUCAGCUAAGGUCCCAAAGUGUAAGUUAAGUGGAAAAGGAUGUGGGAUUUCUAAGACAACUAGGAUGUUGGCUUAGAAGCAGCCACUCAUUUAAAGAGUGCGUAAUAGCUCACUAGUCAAGAGAUCCUGCGCCGAAGAUGUCCGGGGCUAAAACUUACCACCGAAGCUAUGGGCUCGAAAGAGCGGUAGAGGAGCUUCCUGUAUGGAGUGAAGUCGUACCGAAAGGAGCGGUGGACUGUACAGGAGUGAGUAUGCUGGCAUAAGUAGCGAGAAAUAAGUGAGAAUCUUAUUGGUCGAAAAUCUAAGGUUUCCUGAGGAAGGCUCGUCCGCUCAGGGUUAGUCGGGACCUAAGCCGAGGCCGAAAGGCGUAGGUGAUGGACAAUCGGUUGAUAUUCCGAUACCACCAACUGACGUUAUUACAAAUGGGAUGACGCAGGAGGAUAGGAUGUGCACACUAUUGGAUGUGUGUCUAAGCACUUAGACAGAUCAGACAGGCAAAUCCGUCUGGUUAAUGUUGAGGUGUGAUGGGGAGUGGCUUUAUGCCGCGAAGUAUCUGAUUCCACGCUGCCAAGAAAAGUCUCUAUGGAGGAUGUUGGUGCCCGUACCGCAAACCGACACAGGUAGAUGAGGAGAGAAUCCUAAGACCAUCGGAAGAAUUGUUGUCAAGGAACUCGGCAAAUUGACCCCGUAACUUCGGGAGAAGGGGUGCCUAUGAAAGUAGGUCGCAGAGAAUAGGCCCAAGCAACUGUUUAGCAAAAACACAGGUCUCUGCUAAAGCGAAAGCUGAAGUAUAGGGGCUGACGCCUGCCCGGUGCUGGAAGGUUAAGGGGAAUACUUAGCGCAAGCGAAGGUAUGAACUUAAGCCCCAGUAAACGGCGGCCGUAACUAUAACGGUCCUAAGGUAGCGAAAUUCCUUGUCGGGUAAGUUCCGACCCGCACGAAUGGCGUAAUGACUUGGGCACUGUCUCGACAACAAAUCCGGCGAAAUUGUAGUGCAAGUGAAGAUGCUUGCUACCCGCGAUUGGACGGAAAGACCCCGUAGAGCUUUACUGCAGCUUAGCAUUGAGUUUCGAUAUUGUCUGUACAGGAUAGGUGGGAGACUGCGAAACAGGGGCGUCAGCUUCUGUGGAGUCAUCCUUGGGAUACCACCCUGACAGUAUUGGGAUUCUAACCGGCGGCCAUGAAACUGGUCACGGGACAUUGUUAGGUGGGCAGUUUGACUGGGGCGGUCGCCUCCAAAAAAGUAACGGAGGCGCCCAAAGGUUCCCUCAGAACGGUUGGAAAUCGUUCGAAGAGUGCAAAGGCAGAAGGGAGCCUGACUGCGACACAUACAGGUGGAGCAGGGACGAAAGUCGGGCUUAGUGAUCCGGUGGUUCCUCGUGGGAGGGCCAUCGCUCAACGGAUAAAAGCUACCUCGGGGAUAACAGGCUGAUCUCCCCCAAGAGUCCACAUCGACGGGGAGGUUUGGCACCUCGAUGUCGGCUCGUCGCAUCCUGGGGCUGAAGUAGGUCCCAAGGGUUGGGCUGUUCGCCCAUUAAAGCGGCACGCGAGCUGGGUUCAGAACGUCGUGAGACAGUUCGGUCCCUAUCCGUCGCGGGCGUAGGAAAUUUGAGAGGAGCUGUCCUUAGUACGAGAGGACCGGGAUGGACUGACCUCUGGUGUACCAGUUGUUCCGCCAGGAGCAUGGCUGGGUAGCUAUGUCGGGACGGGAUAAACGCUGAAAGCAUCUAAGCGUGAAACCCACCUCAAGAUUAGAUUUCCCAUAGCGUAAGCUAGUAAGACCCCUUGAAGAACACAAGGUUGAUAGGUCAGAGGUGUAAGCAUGGUAACAUGUUCAGCUGACUGAUACUAAUAGGUCGAGGGCUUGACCAA
rfam:Clostridium carboxidivorans P7 ctg00349, whole genome shotgun sequence.